rnacentral:rRNA from 1 species
CCUACGGGGGGCUGCAGUGGGGAAUAUUGGACAAUGGGGGGAACCCUGAUCCAGCCAUGCCGCGUGUGUGAAGAAGGCCCUCGGGUUGUAAAGCACUUUCAGUGAGGAAGAACGCCUGGUGGUUAAUACCCAUCAGGAAAGACAUCACUCACAGAAGAAGCACCGGCUAACUCCGUGCCACCAGCCGCGGUAAUACGGAGGGUGCGAGCGUUAAUCGGAAUUACUGGGCGUAAAGCGCGCGUAGGUGGCUUGAUAAGCCGGUUGUGAAAGCCCCGGGCUCAACCUGGGAACGGCAUCCGGAACUGUCAAGCUAGAGUGCAGGAGAGGAAGGUAGAAUUCCCGGUGUAGCGGUGAAAUGCGUAGAGAUCGGGAGGAAUACCAGUGGCGAAGGCGGCCUUCUGGACUGACACUGACACUGAGGUGCGAAAGCGUGGGUAGCAAACAGGAUUAGAUACCCUUGUAGUC